CUCCGCCCUUGGCCUUAGGAUGACUCCCCGCCCACCUAGCGGCUUUUCAUUGGCUUGGGUUUUGGUCCCAUCCCUGGCUCGGCCUCUUCGGUCCCGCCCCGCGAAGUUUGACAGCGCCGCGCCCAUGACUGCUUUUCAUUGGCUGUCAUUGCCCUCCUGAGACACACCCCCAGGGUGUGGACUGAGGAUUGACCAUUGCCCAGCACUCUGAUGACCCCCAUUAGUUUCAUGCCCAAAGGACAGCCCUUUGGUCUCAGCUGAGACAGGAGGAUCCACUCUGAGUUGAGAGUCAGCUAAGUGAUUGGCUCAAAGAUGAACGAAUGAGAGUAAGCCCUGGUGCUCUGGAAGGAACUAUUGGAAAAUCCUCCUCUUUCCGCUAAACUAACUAUGUAAGUUAGAAACCUAGAGCGAACUAAGGCUAUCUUAGUGACUUCAUGGGGAAAGCCUGCCUGAGAUUGAACCCAACAAAGAGGAACAGAGAUUCAAGAGAGUUGAGUUCCUCUUAAUACUGUCCAAACACCUGGAUCCAGCCAUGCCUGAGAGCAUAUACAUUUGGAUUUCUUGAUUGUAUUAGCCAACGAAUCCUUCUUUUUUGUUUAAGCUUCCUUGAACUGGGAUGGACUCUAAGUCUAUCCCAGGGCUGGAGCUGUCAGUUCAGGUACAGAGGGAAGGAAGUGGAUGAGGAUGUCACCUGCUUCAUUUCCUGAAGGGGGGCCACGGCCUUAGCCUGAGAUGUGCUCGUCACCUUGGCAAGAGUUGAGACUGCUAUGUCGGGUCUUCCUUCUGGUUCACUGGCUCCUGCUGAGAAGCCCCAGUUGACUUUGGUGGGGUAUGAGGAAUGUCUGCUGGGGACAUUGAUCAGGAAAGGUUUUCACCUGGGAGUGGAUGGGACUGAAGCAGGUACCUGCUGCAAGUCGACUGCUGGUGUCUGGAGAUUCAGGCCGCAGCCACCAAAAGUCAGCUGGGCCUGCAGGCUGGCGUUCCUCUCUGCUUGUAGGCUGAGCCUGGCGGAACCGGCUUAUGUACCUAUGAGCAUCAGAGAAUGGGAGGUGGGUGAAUGAGUGGAGCCACAUAAUAAUGACAAUAACAGUCACAAUAGUGACGUUUAUCAAGUA